rnacentral:rRNA from 1 species
GACGAACGCUGGCGGCGUGCUUAACACAUGCAAGUCGAACGGAAAGGCCCUGCUUUUGUUGGGUGCUCGAGUGGCGAACGGGGGAGUAACACGUGAGUAACCUGCCCUUGACUUUGGGAUAACUUCAGGAAACUGGGGCUAAUACCGGGUAGGAUCUCCUGCUGCAUGGUGGGGGUUGGAAAAUGUCGGCGGUUGGGGAUGGACUCGCGGCUUAUCAGCUUGUUGGUGGAGUAGUGGCGUACCAAGGCUUUGAAGGGUAGCCGGCAUGAGAGGGUGACCGGCCACAUUGGGACUGAGAGACGGACCAGAAGCGUACGGUAGGCAGCAGUGGGGAAUAUUGCGCAAUGGGCGGAAGCCUGAUGCAGCAACGCCGCGUGCGGGAUGACGGCCUUCGGGUUGUAAACCGAUUUCGCCUGUGACGAAGCGUGAGUGACGGUAAUGGGUAAAGAAGCAACGGCUAACUACGUG